GAUGAAGAACGCAGCGAAAUGCGAUAAGUAAUGUGAAUUGCAGAAUUCAGUGAAUCAUCGAGUCUUUGAACGCACAUUGCGCCCCCUGGUAUUCCGGGGGGCAUGCCUGUCCGAGCGUCAUUGCUGCCCUCAAACCUCGGGUUUGGUGUUGGACCCAAGUUGUGUGAACAACUGGUCUUAAAGACAAUGACGGCGUCCGUGGGACCCUCGGUGCAACGAGCUUUUAGGAGCACGCGUCGAGUUUCAAGGACCUUCCGGGCCGGUCUCCUUUACCAUUUUACAAGGUUGACCUCGGAUCAGGUAGGAAUACCCGCUGAACUUAAGCAUAUCAAUAAGCGGAGGA
rnacentral:misc_RNA from 1 species